rnacentral:rRNA from 1 species
AUGUUCCCGGUGAAGCUGUUAUUGCUGGCGUUGAGUGCAAUCAGAUUUUUCAUCACCUUCCAUGUGGCUGAUGGAAAUUUUGAGCUGAACUGGUUGCUUGAGAUGGUGAGUACCUGCAGAGGCCGGUUGGUGGUAACCAAGUACGGCAGGUUGGGCAGCGGUCCGUUGAGCUGGUUGAAGCUGACGUCAAGGAUGAUGAUGCUUCCGGAGGACAUGAGCUCUGGCAAAAGGCCACCAGAGAAGGAGUUGUACGAGAGAUUGACAUGUAGCAGGCUGGUGAGGUCGGCCAGGGAUGGCGAGAUGCACCCUUCAAGUCCUUUAGAUCCCAGGGAGACCUCAGUAACGGCCCCAUCUUCAUUGCAGAUGACGCCUUCCCACUUGCAGCAGUUCGUCCCGUUGUCGCGCCAUGACGUGGCGAGGCCGCCAUCUCGCGACAGCCCGGCUAGGAACUGGAGCAGAUUAUGCUUCUCCUGCUCGGUGCAUGCGGUGGCGGGAGAGGCCAAGAUGUGCAGCACAACUGGAGGAACGGUGAUGGAAGGCAUUGACCGGUGUUUGUUCUCCUCCUUGUUUUUCUGUUGCUUGAAGAAUGCACACAGUGCUGGUACUAGCUAUCAUUUAACAGGGGCUUUUAUUUGCACAUCAGAGCUACUGAACACCAUUCAUAAGAUUCCUUAUUUCAUGUCAUGGGUGCAGCUUAGUGUCCUGGGCCACAGUCGGUUGGUGCACAAAUGCAAUCAAUCAGCUAUCUCCUCGCCCCUUGAAGUUAUGUUUACGUGGUUGAAGAAUAUAUUUGAGAGUGAUGUUAAUUACACCAGGGGUGAUACGGGCGGAACCCUAAAACUGCCGCUAGCGUCUCCCCUUCGCCGCCGCCGGAGGAUGCAGCCGGGCUAA